rnacentral:rRNA from 1 species
CAUUUUCAUAUAGAAGAUCCCUGAGAGUAACCCUCAGGUCGAGAAGUAGGGAGUCGCAGAGGAGAUUAAGGAAUAGGUUUAUAGCCAAUCUAGGGUACCUUGCCUACUCAACGUUUGCCUCGAUGGUCUACUCCUCUGGCUAGGGUACCCCACGGAAGUAGGUAGAGUGGGGUGUCAGAGGCAGUGGACUGGCUAGAGGCAACCGGUCGCAGUGGCGGGAGCUGUUGAGGGGACUAGGUGGGGAUAGCACCAGUAGCAGGAGCUUCGCAGCCAAAGGUUUUCUCCUCCUGCUAGGGUAGCACCAAGAAGUAGGGAGAGUGCGGUGGCAGAGGCGGUGGAAUACCUAGAGGCCACCGGCCUCAGCGACGGGAGUCGGCCGACUACUUAAUCGGGGUUUGAGGGGCUCUUUGUGGACAGCCCAGUAGCAGGAGCUUCGCAGCCAAGGGUCGCUGAUUGUGCCUCCGAGGCGGGGGCGACCGGGACGAGGACGGGGCUCUUCCCAGAGUCCCUCCUCUACCACUAAAUUCAAAACAAGAGUCAAGGAUUAAUAUACAGUCCAAGUCUUAACCAUUCAACAUUCUUGAUAAACACGCACACCUUCUCUUCUCGAUACCAGUGAAAUCUGUUUGAAGAGAUCGUUUUUUUAAACCGUCGUGAUACAGGUACAUUAUAAACGAAUCGAUGAACCAAUACAAACCAAGUAGUUACGAUCCUGGUUCCUCCUCGUAUACUAUGAAAUAAUAUAUAUUCUACACUCAAUUACUACUAAAGGAUAUGAAGUUAAAACACCGUAGCGUAACGAGUUGAAUGACUAUCUAUUUAAUCAAAAGGACUUCACAUUAUGAACUCAGGAACGCAGAAGUCAAUCAAGAGUUGUGCCUUAGGUAAUUUAGGUAAGUUCUCAAUAUCUACGAAAAGACAAAUGUUAAAAAAUCACCUUAAAGAACAGGCAAACUAACGAUCUAAAAAAAAUGAAAAAUGUACCAUAUAUAUUAUUAUUUAUUAAAAAAAUAAUCCAAUACUAGUACCGAGUACAUAUAAAUGUUUCAGGAAAGUGUAACAAAAGGAACAGUUACCAGGUUAUAUAAAUGAAACAUAUUCCACGUGGCUUCCCAGCAAACUUCCUGGCUCCCUGGUUGUUCUCGAGUACAUAUCAUCAACACCGUACAUAAAAAAGAGUACUACACAGACAACUUAAAAGUAAUAAGAGGGUCUAGCUAAUUACAAAAAAACAACGAAUAAUAUGGUGUAUAAAACACAACGUUAAUAUAAAGAACAGCAACUAGAUUACUGUAAUAUGUAAAAUUACGUCAAUUAGGUAAGUGGUCCGAAAAUGACUAAAUCGACCCUGUACGGGUAUGUUGAGAACGGAAACCUUGCGAAUACGAAUAAAAGGAGGGAGGUACAAAACAAACGACUUUUUUACGUUACACCCAUACCUCCAACUCUCGAUAUUUACAUUCUUUCUAAAUCGUUUUUUUAAGGUUACGAGGAUGGAUCUCGUGAUAUCAAGGGUCACCGCGAACUGACCUGACUAUAACGGGUGGGGUAGACCUAGGCCAAGACUGAUCUAUACCCAUUGUAAAAUUAUAUACCAACCUAAGUCUAUCCAGUGAUUUCCACGUUUUGAAGGUACUAUACUAAGUAAUAUAUUUUAAUGAAAACUUUACUCCCUAAGUUUACAUGUGAAGUAUGAGUUGUGCUGUAAAAAUAUGACGAACUAGUUUAAUUUAGUUCAAUUUCAAUGAAUUUAAUUUAUUAUUUCAAAGCUAUUAAGGGUCUUCGAAAGACUGGGUGGAAAACGUUGGAAUGUACUUCAUGAAUAUACUCCCUUGUAAUAGAAGGAGCCCAUCACGAAACGAGAAGGCACAAGAUAUUUAACACUCCACACGGAACAACCGGAAAACUUUAAUAAAGGGGGAGAAUAAAACGUGAACCCUAAGGAAGUAGAUAACAAUCCAUAUACGUAGUUUGACUUACAUAGGAGACAAGUAAACGUCCUACUACUUUUAGAAUGGUUUCUCGUAGUCUCAACGUCCACCAUCGGACCAGCUUCGUACGUGUGCAUCACCUGAUCCUACCCUUCCUUCCUCAGGCCGCGGUUCCUCCUUCUCGUAGCCCCUGCUUCCUCUUGAUGUUGCACCCCUUCCCUUCCCGACCUGACCAGCCGCGACAAUGAUGAAUAACAACCACAUUUAAAGAAACUAUGAUGACUAGAGAUGUCUCUUUAACCCCUACGUUUAAAUAGUGUACGUGCGGGUACAUGUAGACGAACAGAGAAUAGCUUUUAAACGAGCUAAACACGACGCUCAAGUCCGGUCUGUACUGUGGUUCCUACAAAUAAAAAAAGAUUAAGGUGAAAUGAAUCAUAGACUCGAUUAGUACUUACCUCUUUCAGACACGACUACAGUCG